GAAGGUAUAGCUCAAUGGUAGAGUGCAUGCCUAGCAUGCACAAGUUGCUGGGUUCAAUUCCCAGUACCUCCA
rnacentral:tRNA from 1 species